UGAACGCUGGCGGCAGGCCUAACGCAUGCAAGUCGAGCGGAUGAAGGGAGCUUGCUCCUGGAUUCAGCGGCGGACGGGUGAGUAAUGCCUAGGAAUCUGCCUGGUAGUGGGGGAUAACGUCCGGAAACGGGCGCUAAUACCGCAUACGUCCUGAGGGAGAAAGUGGGGGAUCUUCGGACCUCACGCUAUCAGAUGAGCCUAGGUCGGAUUAGCUAGUUGGUGGGGUAAAGGCCUACCAAGGCGACGAUCCGUAACUGGUCUGAGAGGAUGAUCAGUCACACUGGAACUGAGACACGGUCCAGACUCCUACGGGAGGCAGCAGUGGGGAAUAUUGGACAAUGGGCGAAAGCCUGAUCCAGCCAUGCCGCGUGUGUGAAGAAGGUCUUCGGAUUGUAAAGCACUUUAAGUUGGGAGGAAGGGCAGUAAGUUAAUACCUUGCUGUUUUGACGUUACCAACAGAAUAAGCACCGGCUAACUUCGUG
rnacentral:rRNA from 1 species